rnacentral:rRNA from 1 species
UCUUGUAAUUGGAAUGAUGGGAAUUUAAACCUCUUCCAGAGUAUCAAUUGGAGGGCAAGUCUGGUGCCAGCAGCCGCGGUAAUUCCAGCUCCAAUAGCGUAUAUUAAAAUUGUUGCAGUUAAAAAGCUCGUAGUUGAAUUUCUGCUGCAUUGCUUGUGUCCCUCUGGGGUCUGUGCAUGUGGCUUUUUUCGGACGGAGUUUCUUUGUCUGAAUGUUUACUUUGAGAAAAUUAGAGUGCUCAAAGCAGGCUUUCGCCUUGAAUAGUUUAGCAUGGAAUAAUAAAGUAGGACUUUGGUUCUAUUUUGUUGGUUUUAGGUACCAAAGUAAUGGUUAAUAGGAACAGUUGGGGGCAUUCGUAUUUAACUGUCAGAGGUGAAAUUCUUAGAUUUGUUAAAGACGAACUACUGCGAAAGCAUUU